AACAGGUGGGGUGUGGGCGGGGCCUGUCCCUGCCGGCCGGCAUAGAAAAGGCGGCCGGCCCGGGCCUGAUCAGAGCACAACCACCGGGCCGACUGACACACAGGAGGAGCGGGGGCCACGGGUCGGUGACGCAGCCGGAGAGCGAGGGAGAGCCAGGGAGAGAGAGAGGGAGAGGGGAGUUAGGGUAGGUCUGGAGGAGUUGGAGUGGUUUGAGUUGGGGGCCGGUGGUGGCGGCGGCGGUGGUGGUGGUGGAGCAGCCGGUGGCGUGGUGGUCUGCUGUGUGUGGGACAGAGUGUCCAGAGCCUCUGCGUCGGCGGUAGUCUUUCCAUGAUAACUUUUUAAAAGCCUGGGAGGUAAGUGGUCUGGUGUUGGCGUCGUCGUUGGCCGGCGAGGCCGCCAGGGGGGGGUUCGACGUGUGGAGGUACCGGUUUGCGUGUACAUGGUGGUCCUCAUGCGUCAUUGUUGUGUUUGAUUCUCCUCACGUGUUGUCGAGUAGUGCUAAGCGGCAGGCGUAAGAAAAACAGUUGUUGGACACAAACGCACACACACAGACACACACACACACACACACACACACACACACACACACACACUAUCACGCAACACCUUGGGUCAAAUGGCAGGGGGGUGUCUGCCCAGUGAGGUUAGGGUGGGUAGCAGUGUCCCUCAUAGGGCUGUGUAGCUGUGAACCCCCACAUAGUGGGGGCGUUGACCACAUGGUGGCUGAGAAGGCUAGUAGUUAGCAUGUAGGGCUUUAGCUUAGCAACAGUUCAGCUAGUCAGCGGCGUUGGCUAAACCGGCACUGACCUCCAAGACGUCCUCUCCAUGCACUGCAAGGUAAGGCUCAAGAACGCGAUGACGUCACGGCCGUUCUGCGGUGACGACGUCUACCGUCCUCGCAAUCGUUCUUCUUCAGCGCUCUCUUUCUCUUUCCUGUCAUUCCCAUCCCCUGUCCUUCUCACAUUCCCUCUCAUAUGUCAGAGCCUCUCACUCUCGCUUUCUGAUUUCCAAACGUCUCACUCUUUCUUCCUGCCUCUCGUAGUCCUUCUCUCUCUCUCUCUCUCUCUCUCUCUCUCUCUCUCUCUCUCUCUCUCUCUCUCUCUCUCUCUCUGUUCUGUGGAUCUCCCUCUGGCAGCUGAAGCUACACGCCUUGCUGUGGCUGGUCAAACGGAACCAAGUCAGGUGUUUCUGUGAGGUUUGGUCCCUUUCAACCAGCUACUGCGUCGUGCAUUCAGUCAGCAGACAUCAACGAAAAUCAAAGAAAAAAGUUGCAUGUUACUGAAGUCCGGUUGUGGCCGCUAGACGGCGGUAUUUCCCCAUUGCAUUGGCCUAGUGAUGUCGGUAAUGGCAACUCCUGAUUAUCGGCUCUGUUUUUUUAGAUUAUUUUAGAUUAUUUCAUGCAAGUAGUGUUGUCUGAAAUGGUUUUGUGUUGUGAUGCUGUUUGUUGGAAAUAAAAAUAUUUGAUUGGCAAUAUUGAUGCAGUUUAUAUUUGUUUAAAUGUUCAUUUACUGUGUUUGAACAUUUUGGGAUUCUCGCAAAUUCUCCCUGUAUUAAUUUCAACACCACCAGCAAUAUUAUCAUCUUCAUCCGAAAUCAUAUUCUUGUAGCACUCUUGCCUUCUUAGUUACAUACAAUGAUCAACUCCUCAAUCAUCACUUAAUUAAAAGCAAUUUUCAGAAUGACAUAAUUCAACCUGCUGAAGAGAGAAAUCUAGUGGUGUUGUAAAAUAUUCUCUAAUUACACAUUUUUCAAAAAAAUAAAAUAAUUAUAAUAAUUCUGUGUAUAGGCCUAUUCAUUUAUAUAUACAUUUUAUAUAACUUAUACCAUAUAUAUUGGCUCAUAGGCAUUAAAUAAACUACUCUAAUCUCAAGAAUUAGUUAGUAACACAUAAUCUAGAGCAUUAGAUUUCAAUU
ensembl:lncRNA